ensembl:piRNA 21ur-822 ncRNA
UUAAGUCAUAGUUAUAACUGA